GGCCUUAUGGUCUAGUAGCAUGAUUCUUCCUUUGGGUGGUUCCUAGAACCGACAAUUGGAAGAGGUCCUGGGUUCAAUUCCCAGUGAGGCCC